rnacentral:rRNA from 1 species
AGAGGGUGCGAACGUUGUUCGGAAUUACUGGGCGUAAAGCGCAUGUAGGCGGCAGAGCAAGUCGGGCGUGAAAUCCCACGGCUCAACCGUGGAAGUGCACUCGAAACUGCGUAGCUAGAGUCCUGGAGAGGAAGGUGGAAUGCUUGGUGUAGAGGUGAAAUUCGUAGAUAUCAAGCGGAACACCGGUGGCGAAGGCGGCCUUCUGGACAGUGACUGACGCUGAGAUGCGAAAGCGUGGGGAGCAAACAGG